UGUGUCUCUUCGGUAGACGGUAUGACAGGUGCUGCAUGGCUGUCGUCAGCUCGUGCCGUGAGGUGUUGGGUUAAGUCCCGCAACGAGCGCAACCCUACUCUUUAGUUGCCAUCAGUUCGGCUGGGCACUCUAAAGGGACUGCCGGUGUUAAACCGGAGGAAGGUGGGGAUGACGUCAAGUCCUCAUGGCCUUUAUGACCAGGGCUACACACGUACUACAAUGGCCGAUACAAAGGGCAGCGACACUGCGAGGUGAAGCCAAUCCCGUAAAAUCGGUCUCAGUCCGGAUUGGAGUCUGCAACUCGACUCCAUGAAGUUGGAAUCGCUAGUAAUCGUGGAUCAGCAUGCCACGGUGAAUACGUUCCCGGGCCUU
rnacentral:rRNA from 1 species